AUUGAACGCUGGCGGCAGGCCUAACACAUGCAAGUCGAGCGGAUGAAGGGAGCUUGCUCCUGGAUUCAGCGGCGGACGGGUGAGUAAUGCCUAGGAAUCUGCCUGGUAGUGGGGGAUAACGUCCUGAAACGGGCGCUAAUACCGCAUACGUCCUGAGGGAGCAAGUGGGGGAUCUUCGGACCUCACGCUAUCAGAUGAGCCUAGGUCGGAUUAGCUAGUUGGUUGGGUAAAGGCCUACCAAGGCGACGAUCCGUAACUGGCCUGAGAGGAUGAUCAGUCACACUGGAACUGAGACACGGUCCAGACUCCUACGGGACGCAGCAGUGGGGAAUAUUGGACAAUGGGCGAAAGCCUGGUCCAGCCAUGCCGCGUGUGUGAAGAAGGUCUUCGGAUUGUAAAGCACUUUAAGUUGGGAGGAAGGGCAGUAAGUUAAUACCUUGCUGUUUUGACGUUACCAACAGAAUAAGCACCGGCUAACUUCGUG
rnacentral:rRNA from 1 species